rnacentral:lncRNA from 1 species
AUGGGGGUGCAGGGACCCGUGAGGGGACUGCAGGGCUGCCCCAGCCAGUUCCUGCCUGGGCACGGCCGAGCCCUCAGAGGAGCUGCUGCAGCCUCUGUGGGAUGUGUGGGAGCAAAGAGAGCCCCACAGGCAGCAAGUGUGAGGGAAAAGCGUGAGGAACAGCCCUGGCAGCACCCAACAGAGAAAAACAGGAUAACCCAUCUGAAAUUGUGCCAGAGUUUACAGGAACACUGAUGCCAGCAAUUUAGGGAUCUUCACAUUCAGUCUCAGUGGUUUGAGAAAGGAACCAGAGAAUCUUGUCCUAUUAGAAUAUGUAGAACAACAUCUCUGCAAAGAAGACAAAUGACAAUAUCUACA